UACAGAGGUCUCAAGCGUUGUUCGGAUUCAUUGGGCGUAAAGGGUGCGUAGGCGGCGCGGUAAGUCGGGUGUGAAAUCUCGGGGCUUAACUCCGAAACUGCAUUCGAUACUGCCGUGCUUGAGGACUGGAGAGGAGACUGGAAAUUUACGGUGUAGCGGUGAAAUGCGUAGAUAUCGUAAGGAAGACCAGUGGCGAAGGCGGGUCUCUGGACAGUUCC
rnacentral:rRNA from 1 species